GACUUUCUCCUCUAGCAGAUGCCUGA
rnacentral:piRNA from 1 species